UUGCGUACCUCGGGGGGCUUCGAAUGAAGCUGAGAUGCCACAUGGCGGACCCGUAGAACCUGAACCGGUUAAGACCGGCGGAGGGAAGGUAACGGGCUAAGUU
rnacentral:ncRNA from 1 species